rnacentral:rRNA from 1 species
GCGUAGGGUACGUAGGUGGUGAAAAUCGGUGUAAAUAAAAUUCUGGGUAGCAACCCUUAACCGUUUACUUCCAUAUUUCACUUGGAUAUAAGACGAGGAACUGGUAUGUACAUGGAGGGGUUAAAUAUGAGAUAUGUAUAGGACUGACAUUGGUGAAAACAAGUUUCUGAUCUAUUAUUGAGCUAAGGUACGAAGGCAUGGGUAUCAAAAGGGAUUAGAGACCCUGUAGUCCAUGCUGUCAACGCUGAGAAUUCAAUGUUAGGGACACGGCUAACGAUCCGAAAAAUUUAGUUAUCAUAAGAGCCAAACUAGAUUUGCGGUUCAUUAUGUGAACGUAAGGAUCUGCGCACUGCUAUAUAAGAGAUUCUUAUUAAACCCAUAGUUAGGGGGCAUCCACGAAGGAUAUACAAAGAUAUUCCUAGGUUGGUCACUUGUUCCUGGUGUUUGAGUAACGCGUUAAAUUCUCCGCUGGGGAGUACGGCCGCAGGUUGAAACUCAAAAGAAUUGAGGUGACUUGUACGAGG